rnacentral:rRNA from 1 species
UACAGGGGGGGGCAAGCGUUGUUCGGAAUUACUGGGCGUAAAGGGCUCGUAGGUGGCCAACUAAGUCAGACGUGAAAUCCCUCAGCUUAACUGGGGAACUGCGUCUGAUACUGGAUGGCUUGAGUUUGGGAGAGGGAUGCGGAAUUCCAGGUGUAGCGGUGAAAUGCGUAGAUAUCUGGAGGAACACCGGUGGCGAAGGCGGCAUCCUGGACCAAUACUGACGCUGAGGCGCGAAAGCAUGGGGAGCGAACAGG